GACGAACGCUGGCGGCGUGCCUAAUACAUGCAAGUCGAGCGGACGAUUCGAAAGCUUGCUUUUGAAUCGUUAGCGGCGGACGGGUGAGUAACACGUGGGCAACCUGCCCUGUAGACGGGGAUAACACCGAGAAAUCGGUGCUAAUACCGGAUAACACGAAAUGUCGCAUGACGUUUCGUUGAAAGGCGGCGCAAGCUGCCGCUACAGGAUGGGCCCGCGGCGCAUUAGCUAGUUGGUGAGGUAACGGCUCACCAAGGCGACGAUGCGUAGCCGACCUGAGAGGGUGAUCGGCCACACUGGGACUGAGACACGGCCCAGACUCCUACGGGAGGCAGCAGUAGGGAAUCUUCCGCAAUGGACGAAAGUCUGACGGAGCAACGCCGCGUGAGCGAAGAAGGCCUUCGGGUCGUAAAGCUCUGUUGUUAGGGAAGAACAAGUAACGUAGUAACUGACGUUACUAUGACGGUACCUAACGAGAAAGCCGCGGCUAACUACGUG
rnacentral:rRNA from 1 species